rnacentral:rRNA from 1 species
AGACCGGUCUACUGGUCGUGCUUUUGUACGUACUGGUUUUAUUGGUUUCUCCUUUCUGACGAACUUUAAUGCCNUUAAUUUGGUGUUUUAGGGAAUCAGGACUGUUACUUUGAAAAAAUUAGAGUGUUUAAAGCAGGCUCACGCUUGAAUACAUUAGCAUGGAAUAACGGAAUAGGACGUUUGAUUUUAUUUUGUUGGUUUCUAGGAUCGACGUAAUGAUUAAUAGGGAUAGUUGGGGGCAUUAGUAUUCAAUUGUCAGAGGUGAAAUUCUUGGAUUUAUUGAAGACUAACUACUGCGAAAGCAUUUGCCAAGGAUGUUUUCAUUAAUCAAGAACGAAAGUUAGGGGAUCGAAGACGAUCAGAUACCGUCGUAGUCUUAACCAUAAACUAUGCCGACUAGGGAUCGGAUGAUGUUAAUUUUUUAAUGAC